UUGUGCAUGUGGGUCACAAAGUUUAUGUCAGAGAGAGAUUUGAAUGGUAUUUUCUCCACAAAAUUUAGAUUUUUCUUUUAGCAACAGAAAAAAAAUGACCUUGUUGAUGCUAUGUUAAAAAAUAUGCAGCAUACUGGUGGUAGCAGACUAAAACAAAGUAAAAAUUAAUAUUUCUCAAGGAAAUGUCCACAAAAGAAUAUCUCCCAGUACAUAUGACUAUGUCCUGCUAUUUGUACAGUAUAGUAACAGAUGUGGCAGUUGGUAGCUUUUGGUAGAUGUGGCAGUUGGUAGCUAUUGGUAGAUGUGGCAGUUGGUAGCUAUUGGUAGAUGUGGCAGUUGGUAGCUAUUGGUAGAUGUGGCAGUUGGUAGGUGGAGAAAAGAAGCAAAAAUGUUGCCAAAAUGAACAAGUUCGCAGGAUGAAAGCGCAGCUGCAGGGCUAUUUGUCACUUUUUCUUUUUUUUUUUUACUAAGGGACUGGUCGUACAACGUCUCUUUAGCAGAAUCAAUCCCUCUAUAAGGGACGGACAUGCCAAGUGACAUUGGCACAACAUAAUAGCUCCUGCCCGGCAAGUCAGCCUCCGUAUACCCCUCCACAUUCAUAUGGAUUCCCACAUCGGAAGUGAAUUUCGGAAUCUGGGGUGAAUAGGAUUCUGUGGGAACCCAGUUACGGACUGCGCUGUUCCUCAAACUCCUGAUCGCUGCUAUAGCUGGAGGACGGAAUCACAAACUCCUCCCACUCACUUGCACUCUCCUCAGAGUAUAGCAACUGCCUACUCCACAGUGUAACGCCUGCCGGACAUAUCACUUCUGAUAUGAAAUGCUAAAACGAAAACCCUAGAAUUAUGCUUAUCAAUCCCUACGCUUCCUCCCCCAACUGGCCUACCAGAUGGUGAGGAUAAAGGACCUUUGACAAUGUCAACAUUUAGUGACCAGUUACAUGUUGGGGGCAGAGCUCAGCUGUGCAGGAUAGAAGAGAUGGUGGAUGAAGGACCUUUUGUGAUGCUGUGUAGGAGGUGGAGCUGAGCUAGUGUGGAGGUCACAUGUGCAUUUAAUGCAGGGUGCUAUGCCCUCCCAGCAUGAAGGGGCGUGGCAUUAUCUGCUAUUUCUUUGCUCCCCUCUACACACAGGAGACAGGAGCAGAGAAGUCAGAGAGAAUCUCCGCCCACAGUCCGUCCUGGCCUGAAACUCCAGCCUUUGCAGAGAGGAAUAUAUUGCCCCGGUCUUGUGCCCAAUGGAGGCAGAACCAGUUCACCAAGCUUCCCUGCCUGUGUCCUGUAUGCUGUGCUAUGCCUGCCUUUCCUCUGUAUAUUUAUAAUUCUUUGUUCUCAGGAAUACAGGAAUUUAACAGAAGCAAUUAUAUGUUGGAACCCUUGAAAUUUUUCUAGAAAAUGAAGUAUUUCUCACAGAAAAGGAUUGCAGUAACACAUGUUUUGCUAUACACAUGUUUAUUCUCUUUGUGUGUAUUGGAA